AACACUUUCCUUGGUUAUUCAGCAAUUUUAAAAUUUUAAUUGUCUACGAAAAUUGGUUAAGAUCACUUCUAAUAUUGUUAAUAUUUAGAAAUCGAAUCGAUCUUCUUCUCAUUUCUGCUUGGUUCUCGUGAAAAACAGUCAACUGUGCUUCUAGAAAAUAUCUUUACUCCAGUGUAAAGUCGGUUCACUUGUAACCAGCAAUAUUACCGUUUUCAAACUAAGGCCUUAAAUGCUGGUCAUAAUGAUUUUAAAAUCAACUGUAAUUUUGAAAUUCGGAGAGUCCAACACUCAGAUGUUUGUUUUCCUUGGAUCCCAUUUUACGUGAAAUUUAAAUGAUUCUGGCUCAAUGGUGUUUCUUUCAAUGGAAAUGGUUUGCUUCCUCCUCAUUACUGGUUAUCCUCAACUUUCAUUGAAUGGUCAGCCUCUGGUCAACAUCUUGAUCAAAUCAAUCUGUACACUUUGUUUUGUCUUCCCUCUUCUAAUGAUUUAUCUGUAAAAUCAGAACCAGUGAGAUAUUUUUUCCUUGUAUCGCCAUGAAAAAAAGCCAGCUUUGAUAAGCCA